rnacentral:rRNA from 1 species
GUAAUUUGGAGAAGGUGCUUCGGGUGUGACGGCGGCUCAAGUUCCUUGGAACAGGACGUCAUAGAGGGUGAGAAUCCCGUAUGUGGCCGAUCGUCUAUCCCAUGUGAAGCCCUUUCGACGAGUCGAGUUGUUUGGGAAUGCAGCUCUAAAUGGGUGGUAAAUUUCAUCUAAAGCUAAAUACCUGCCAGAGACCGAUAGCGCACAAGUAGAGUGAUCGAAAGAUGAAAAGCACUUUGAAAAGAGAGUCAAACAGUACGUGAAAUUGUUGAAAGGGAAGCGCUUGCAACCAGACUCGUACGUGGGGGCUCAGCCGUUUUUCGGGACGGUCUAUUCCCCCGCGGUCGGGCCAGCAUCGGUUUCGGCGGUUGGACAAAGACCUUGGGAACGUAGCUCUCUCCGGGGAGUGUUAUAGCCCGGGGUGCAAUGCAGCCUGCCGGGACCGAGGACCGCGCUUUUGCUAGGAUGCUGGCGUAAUGGUUGCCAGCGACCCGUCUUGAAACACGGACCGAGGAGUCGACCAAUCGCGCGAGUGUUUGGGUGUAAAACCCAUGCGCGCAAUGAAAGUGAACGUAGGUGGGAGCCUCCGGGCGCACCAUCGACCGAUCUUGAUGUUUUCGGAUGGAUUUGAGUACGAGCACGAUCGGUCGGACCCGAAAGGUAAGAAAAAAACCCCUUAUAUUUUCGUUGGAUGCUCUUGCUAACUAACUUUCAACAGAUGGUGAACUAUGCGUGAAUAGGGUGAAGCCAGAGGAAACUCUGGUGGAGGCUCGCAGCGGUUCUGACGUGCAAAUCGAUCGUCAAAUUUGCGCAUAGGGGCGAAAGACUAAUCGAACCGUCUAGUAGCUGGUUCCUGUCGAAGUUUCCCUCAGGAUAGCAGCAACGAAAAACAGUCUCAUGAGGUAGAGCGAACGAUUAGAGGCCUUGGGGUCAAA